CAGGCUUGUCAUGCUUGAGCACUUUUUCAAUGGGCUCCCCAAUAACAAAGCGACGAUGCAUUCGUAUGUCAUCCAUAUCAACUUUCGAUGCCAUUUACUGCGCUUACCAUGGUGACCACAGGUAACAAGGAAUCAGGGUUUGAUUUCUGAGAGGGAGCCUGAGAAAUGGCUACCACAUUCAAGGCAGCAGGCACGCAAAAGACCCACUCCUGACGCGGGAAGGUAAUGA
rnacentral:rRNA from 1 species